GACGGGGGGUCCUAGCGUUGUUCGGAAUUAUUGGGCGUAAAGCGUGUGCAGGUUGUCUGAAAAGUUAGAUGUGAAAUCCUUGGGCUUAACCCAAGACGUGCAUUUAAAACUGCCAGACUUGAGUAUGGAAGAGGAUCGUGGAAUUCCUAGUGUAGUGGUGAAAUACGUAGAUAUUAGGAGGAACACCGGUGGCGAAGGCGGCGAUCUGGUCCAAUACUGACACUCAUACACGAAAGCGUGGGGAUCAAACAGG
rnacentral:rRNA from 1 species